GCCUCGAUAGCUCAGUCGGUAGAGCGUUAGACUGAAGAUCUAAAGGUCCCUGGUUGAAUCCCGGGUCGAGGCA
rnacentral:tRNA from 1 species